rnacentral:lncRNA from 10 species
CUUCACCUCUCACCGGCAUUCACCACAGGACUUUGCGGCACCUAGCCUGAACACUCCGACAGCCCAGAGGGAGCUUGUCCCAGACAAUCAAGAGGAAAAGACGGUAAGCCAUAAAGAGAUGGAGACCUGCUAUCCUGGCGAAGAGGGAAUGGUGGUCCACACACGGGAUUCAGCCUCGGAUCAAGCCCAGCAGGUUCUUGUAUCGGUUCGAACCCUGAGAGCAUGCCAACAGACAACACGAGGUGGUGUGGAGCAACAUGCUGUUUUAAUGAGCGCCUAGGUGCUGGCCGGCUGAGGCCUAAAAUGGUGUCAGCCCCAGGUGAGGACAGCGCAGAAGUUUUAUAGCCUCCUGUAAACAGGAAGUGUCCUAGUCUGAUGUAACUGCUACAUUGUACCCAGAUGGCCUCUUUCUCGGAUCUUCGGUGGUACAUGUCUUACGGCCAGGGUAGGUGUCUUCUGGUUGGCUCUCUUCCUGCUUCUGCUGUCUUGCUGACACACGCUGCUGAUGCAGGUGGCCUUGCACCUUGGGACUGGGCCUGAGCAGGGAGGAGUCACUCAUCCCCUUAGGCUUUCAGGCCCUGGGGAGAAUCUUACAAGUUACCUGAAACUAAUUAUCAAGCC